rnacentral:tRNA from 1 species
GGGUGUAGCUCAGUGGUAGAUCACUUGCCUAGCAUGUAAGAGACCCCAAGUUCAAUCCCCAGUAUCACA